rnacentral:rRNA from 1 species
GACGAACGCUGGCGGCGUGCUUAACACAUGCCAGUCGAACGGAAAGGCCCUGCUCUUGUGGGGUGCUCGAGUGGCGAACGGGUGAGUAACACGUGAGUAACCUGCCCUUGACUUUGGGAUAACUUCAGGAAACUGGGGCUCAUACCGGAUAUGAGCUCCUGCUGCAUGGUGGGGGUUGGAAAGUUUCGGCGGUUGGGGAUGGACUCGCGGCUUAUCCGCUUGUUGGUGGGGUAGUGGCUUAACAAGGCUUUGACGGAUAGCCGGCCUGAGAGGGUGACCGGCCACAUUGGGACUGAGAUACGGCCCAGACGGCUACGGGAGGCAGCAGUGGGGAAUAUUGCACAAUGAGCGGAAGCCUGAUGCAGCAACGCCGCGUGCGGGAUAACGGCCUUCGGGUUGUAAACCGCUUUCGCCGGUGACGAAGCGUGAGUGACGGUAAUGGGUAAAGAAGCACCGGCUAACUACGUG